GCUUUUGGAGGGGGGUGCGUCCUAUCAGGUAGUUGGUGUGGUAAUAGCUCACCAAGCCUAUGACGGGUAGCCGGUCUGAGAGGAUGUCCGGCCGCAAUGGAACUGAGACACGGUCCAUACUCCUACGGGAGGCAGCAGUGGGGAAUCUUGCGCAAUGGGCGAAAGCCUGACGCAGCAAUCCCGCGUGAAGGAUGAAGCAUUAUGGUGUGUAAACUUCUUUUCUGGUGGAAGACGAAUGACGGUACACCAGGAAUAAGGGACGGCUAACUACGUGCCAGCAGCCGCGGUAAUACGUAGGUCCCAAGUGUUAUCCGGAAUUACUGGGCGUAAAGAGUCUGUAGCCGGGUUUGUAAGUCUGUUUUCAAAUCCUAUGGCUUAACCAUAGAGAGGGAAUGGAUACUGCAAACCUUGAGAUUAUUGGGGGUUGAUGGAAUUUCCGGUGGAGCGGUGAAAUGCGUUGAUAUCGGAAGGAACGCCAAAAGUGAAAGCAGUCAACUACAAUAAAUCUGACGGUCAGAGACGAAAACUUGGGGAGCAAACGGGAUUAGAUACCCCGGUAGUCCAAGCCGUAAAUUAUGCAUGCUAGGUGUCUUGUUCACUUUAUGUGAGCGGGGUGCCGUAAUCUAACGAGUUAAGCAUGCCGCCUGGGUAGUAUAUUCGCAAGAAUGAAACUCAAAGGGAUAGGCGGGGGAACACACAAGCAGUGGAUUGUCUCGAUUAAUUGGAUAAUAAGCCAAGAAUCUUACCUAGACUUGACAUAUAUUGUGUCCUACGUGAAAGUGUAGUAAUCCCGAUUUUGUCGGGAUACGAUAUACAGGUGGUGCAUGGUCGUCGUCAGCUCGUGCCGCAAGAUGUCCAGUUAAGUCUGGGAACGAGCGCAACCCU
rnacentral:rRNA from 1 species